CGAAGCACCUCGCGGCGCUGCCUGCGGGACCGACCCUCGCGCGCCCGCCAGGUAGAGCGGCGUUCCCCGCGCACCUCCGCUCCCGCUCGCUUAGGUCCUGCAGGCGCUGGUUGAGGCUCUCGCUCUUGGCCUCGAGCCCGCGCAUCAGCUUCUCUAGCUCCUGCUUCCGCUGGCGACCAUCUCGGUUAUCCUUCUGCAACUGCAGCAGCAGCUCCUGCGUCGCGGCCAUGGCUGUGGAGACCGAGCCUAAAUGCCGCCCGCCUCGGGGACCCGGCCUGCGGCUGGCAGGCGUCACAAUGGGCGGCAGGGAGCGCCUAGUGGGCUGGAUCACAAUGGGCGGUAGGGGAAGCCCGAGCGUAGCCCGACACAUGCCUCUUCUCACGCCGGCCGGAGGCGGGUCAGGCCGGAUCACACUUAGUCCAUCACUGAUGAAAACUGUGUCAAAGAGCCGCAAUUGGAUCAAUGAAAGGUUAAUGAAAUACUAAUACCAAAUGCAGAUCCAGAUACCUAAUAAGAUGCUGGAAUGUAAUCCCUGGACAAUCCGUGUCCUGGCAGCAUUUGGUCUUCCUCUAAGCGCCUGGCUCCGCUGUUCUCAGGAGUGGGUUCUGAAGUCUCUGGAGAACAGGAUACGUGGAGGGUUAGGAAGGGGCCAGGCCUAGAGAUGGGAGACUCCCUCCCGGAGCAGGUGGAGGCACAGGACCAUUCGCUACCCCAUCUGCCGGCACCUGCGGGGGAGCCCAGGCAUUCUUUGUAAACCCUCCUGACUACCUGGCUCAAAGAAAACAGAAGCAUGGAGGCCGCCAAGUAUUUUCAAGAAAUAAUCCCAUGAACAUGGCAUCACUUUUUUAGAAAGAGGGGCUUGGGGCAGGCAGAGGAGAGAAGGGAGAGCAAACUGAGAGCCAAGUUUCCAGACGGUCCUGCAGGAGGAGAGGAUGCAGCUGCCCAGAGGGAAGCAGGAUCACAUUUAAGGAAGUGUGUGCGGUCCCUGGAUGACACCAGCACCCAGUACGGCUCUGUCUGGCAACCGCUCCCAAGGUGGCAGGAGUGGGUGUCCCCUGUGUGUCAGUGGGCAGCUCCUGCUGAGCCCGCAGCUCACUGGGGAGCCUGACAGCGGGGCCAUGCACCUGACACUCCUCUCUGCUUGUGGACCUGAUGAGGCAGGGAGCAGAAAACAGAGCCACUUGAAGGCUUUCUGUCUGCGUCUUUGUGCAGUGUGGAUUUAGUUGUGCUUUUUUCUUGCUGGGAGAGCACAGCCACCAUUUACAAGCAGUGUCACCCUCAUGGGUGGUGAGGACAGAACAGGAGCCUCUGCUCUCUGUACCUAUCUGGGCCCGGUGGGCUCCCCUGUCCUGGCUUCCAUCUCUGUCUCAGUGACCAUUCAGCCCUGCACAGGAACACAUGUUGCUUAGAAAAGCCAAAUCCAGCCUUGUCUCUGCCUCCUCUGGUCUCAUGAUGUGCAUCUGUUACCUUGAAACUGGAAACCAGUCUAUCAAUGUCUGUGCCAAUUUUUUAUUCCCUCCCCAACCUCCUUCCCCAUACGACUUUUUAUUUAUGUAGGAUGUGUGCUGUCUAAUGAUGGGAUGACCACACUUUUCCAUGUUCUAAAAGUGCUCCUCUCCCGCAGGGUCCCAGGGCUGGUGGUUGCUUUGGGUCUACAGCUACAUCUUACCCGCCUCCUGCCUCAAAAGCCUGUGUGGUGGCAAAGCCGGUGUGGGGCUGGGGAACGCAGCGUUCUCCAGGAGGGGGACCUGGCUCUCCUUCUGCAAUGCAGGCGAAGGCCUAGAUGCCAGUGUGACCUCCCACAAGGCAUGGCUUCCAGACUCCCCGACCAGAAGUGAUGCUUUUUUGCCUCGGGCCCUGGGUUUGAAGCAGCCUGGCUUUCUCUUGGUAAGUGGCUGGUGUCUUAGCAGCUGCAAUCUGAGCUCAGCCACCUACACACCACCAUGGCCGACACUUUCAUUAAAAAGUUUCCUGAGACGACUUGCAUGCAUGUUGAUUUCAUGAUCAGCGCCGCUGGGAAGAACCCCUGAGCCGGUGGGGUGGGGCUGGAAGCAGCAGGUGCAGUGAUGGGGCUGGGUGCCCAGGAGGCCUCAGUGCUCAAUCAGGCCAAGGUGGCCAAGCCCAGGCUGCAGGGAAGGCCGGCCUGGGGGGUGUGGGUGAGCACAGGUAGGCACCAGCUGGGCAGUGUUAGGAUGCUGGAGCAGCAUCCGUAACUCCACUGAGUGGGGUAGUCUGGUUGGGGCAGGGACCGCUGCUGCUUUGGCAGAGAGAGAUGAUCCCCACUGGGGAGAGGCUGUCUGACUCUGCAGGUGGGACAGGGACAGAUGGCCACCAGGGUAACCCGGCUGGUCUUCCUUUGCUACGCUAAGCACUGGGACAUGGAGGAUUCCCGCCACACACAGCCUGGGCCCGGGUUCUUACCUGUGGCCACCGCUCUGGCAUGAGCCCCUCAGUCUUGGGUGGUUUCUGCCUGGUCCGGGAUUUGGUGUUGCUGCUGAGUCCAGCCUUUCCACCACCUCCGCAUGGGCCGUGGAUGUUGUCAGCUGCCUCCCGCCUUGGCUUCAGUAGCUCACCCAGCUUACAGGGGAGCUGCCCUGGGCUGGAGAUGGGCAUGCACCCUGGGUCCUACUUGAAUGAAUGCAGCUUGAGGAGACCCGGCCAUAUCCACUGGGCCACAGGUUACCCUCAGCAAUGCCCACAUCAGCCGUCAGCCUGAGCCUCCCCAGGAGAGCAAGGCUCACACGACAAAGGCUGCCCGUGGCCAAUGAGGUGGCUGAGCCCAGCCAGGACCUUUCUCGGACUCCUGGGAUGUGGCUCUGCUCGUGAGCUGCCUGGUCAGCUCUCUCGGGGUGAGAGGGGCUUGUCACACGGGCCCCUGCCUGCAGUGUGACCCUUCUCAGCUUCUCUCAGCAGCCCUGCCUGCGGAGUGUCACCGCCACCAUGAUCAUUUCCCUGACACUGCGAGGGUGUGGGGACGUCCUGGGUAGAGACAGGGCCUGUGGCAGCAGCAGGCUCAGGGGCGCCCUGCACUGGUGGGCUGGGGACCUGGUGGAGACCACGCCAAGGGCUGGACAAGGGGACGAGCCUCCACCCUGGCCUCUCCGCAGGCCUCAGCAGCCCCUCCCACAGGCAGAAGGGUUGACACUGGGUUCUGCCCUCACUGCAAGAGCUGCAAGUGCCACGUGCUGUUCUGCCCAAUCUGGUGUCUGCAGGUGAGGGAAGGGCUGCCGCUGGCCCGUUUCUGAGUGUUCAGCACCUAAGGGUGACAGCACUGUCUGUUCCUACCCUCCGGGUCCUGUUUGAAAAUCAAACCCAUGCUCACAGGCCAAUUUUUUUUCUUUUAGAGACAGGGUCUCACUUUGUCACCCAAGCUGGAGUGCAGUGGUGCGAUUAUAGCUCAAUGCAGCCUCCAAUUCCCGGACCCAAGGGACCUUCCUGCCUCAGCCUGCCAAGUAGCUUGGACUAUAGCUGUGUGUUUUCUUAUUAUUUUGUAGACAUGGGGUCUGGCUAUGUUGUCCAGGCUAUUCUCAAAAUUCCCAGCCUCAAGCAAUCCUCCUGCCUCGGCCUCUCAAAGGUUGGGAUUACAGGUGUGAGGCAAGGCACCCAGCUCAGCCACAGAGCCCUAUUGCAUCUCUCUUACUAGGAGCAAGAGCUGACUGCCCCCUCAUCCCCAUUCCAGAGUGUUGGGGCUGUGUUCAGCCGAGGCCGGGCCACUGGCAUGGCCCAGGGAGUGGGAUCAUUCACUGCUGCCCCAAAUCUGAGAUCAUUCCACCUUGACAAGACUUCCUCAUCCAAUCCCUUUACUUGACAGCUGGGGAAACCAAUGCGCACAGAGCACCCCCAGCUCACUCGGGGUCUCAGAGCUGAUCCAUGAGCAGAGGCCGAGAUCCUGGGAUCUUGUCCCCCAGCCUCCCUGCAAGCUUACUCCCUUUCUGCUGGAAGAGAUGGGGCCAGACCUCGACCAGCAGCCCUGGCCUGGACAUGACUGUGCUCACGCAGGUAUUGAGGCCAAGAUGCCCCGGCAUCAUAUGUUUUUCUUUCCUUUUUUUUUUUUUUUUUUGAGAUGGUGUCUCACUCUGUCACCCAAGCUGGAGUGCAGUGGCAUGAUAUUGGCUCGCUGCAACCUCUGCCUCCCGGUUAAAGUGAUUCUCCUGCCUCAGUCUUCCAAGUAGCUGGGCCUACAGGCUUGUACCACCACGCCUGACUAAUUUUUGUGUUUUUACUAGAGACGGGGUUUCCCCAUGUUGGCCAGGCUCGUGUCGAACUCCUGACCUCAGGUGAUCCACCUGCCUUGGCCUCCCAAAGUGCUAGGAUUACAGGCAUGAGCCAUGGCAUCACUUAAAUGUAGUGACAGGCCGGGCUCAGUGGCUCAUGCCUGUAAUCCCAGUACUUUGAGAGGACGAAGCUGUCAGAUCACCUAAGGUCAGGAGUUCGAGACCAGCCUGGCCAACAUGGUGAAACCGUGUCUCUACAAAAAAAUAGAAAAAAAAAAUCCCUGCGUGGUGGUGAGUACCUGUAGUCCCAGUUACUCAGGAGGCUGAGGCAUGAGAAUCGCUUAAACCUUGGAGGCAGAGGCUGCAGUG
rnacentral:lncRNA from 1 species